GUUUCUGGUUUCGGGUGAAAUCUAUGGUGGUAUCAUCCGAAAUCAACUAAAAUUUGCAGUUUCAUCAGCGGACAUCCAAGAUUGAUAGCCAUGACAUGGGUUCCCCAUCUCCCAAGAUGCAUACAGCAAAUUAAAAAAAAGGUUUAACAGUCAAAUGAAAGCCUGCUGAAUCAUGACCGAAAAAGAUGAGAGGUUACCUUCACUCCUUGGAAUCGUGAACAAACAACGCUUGAAUGGAGGAGCAAUGAAUCACUGACACCGGACAAAGGAAACUAAGGAAAGUUCCUCCUUUAUGCUACGAUGGGCCUCCAGAUUUUCGAUUUCCCCUCU
rnacentral:lncRNA from 1 species